UACACAUGAUGAUCUUGUGAAGGGACUUAAUACUGAAGUAUGUGAUGCUGCUUCAUUCUGAUGUGU